UUCUGUUGCAUGUGACUAAUGUAUUGUGGUAAUUUGAAGUAUACACUUAGUGGGUUUAAGCUGGUAUGAGUUUCCAGAUGUAAUAUUAGUUGAUUGAUCAGUCUUAAUCUUAAUCUUAUUGUGCAUUUUUUUUUUUUCCAAAUUGUUAAUUUGUAUGUUUUGAGAAUCAUGUCUCUGACCCUUAAAGCAUUUUUCAAACUUGAGUGCUCCCUUUUGUGACCAAUGUGGUUGAAUUGUUAAUUUCCUCUGGGUGAAAUUCUUGGGAGUGGCAUAGUUGACGUUGAAAUGAACUUUGAAUUGAAAUUACUUGAAAAUUACAAGAGCUAUCAUUAUCAGUGGAAAAGGUGCAUGGUUCCGAAGGAUCGGUAUUGAGUUGGAGAGUAAUGCAAUGACAGGAGAAUUCAUGGUGUCAGGACUGCACAGGAAGGUGGAGGAGAAGAUGAUGGCCAGCGAGUGCGUGGACAUCUGAUUGUGGUGUUCCUCCCUGGCCACCCUGGGAAGGAGAAGACUAUCACUGCUUGAGGAAGACAUAGGUGGAGUUUAGCUUUACAGUUCUGUGUGAUGGGGUCCAGGAAAUUGUCUGGGAAGUGAGUAAGGGAUGGCAUCCCACCUGACCAUGUGGAAGAGAGUCUGUCCAGGGUGUUGAUGUUGGCCCAGCACUUUGUAAAUGUGUGCCAGUUGUUCAGAUGUUUCUGGCAGCUCUGGGAAGGGUGGAGAUAUGUUUCUUUUAAUCAUUCAGUACUGGAUAGGAAAACUGACCUCCCUGCCCCAAACCAGAAGCAGUCAGGCCUUUCCCAUGCAGGAAGGCGCUGUAGUGCGCAAUAUGUAUAAUCACAAAUAUGGUGUACAUAUAUUUCACAUUAUAUGAAAACCAGCAAUUCCUUGUCUUUUUCAAUAUGUUGCAGUAUAUUUUUGCAUUAUAUUUUCCAAAAAAAUAUUAAUGUCCAUAUAUUUAAAUAUAUUUCUGUUUUGUAAUGGAAUCCAACCAAUAGCUUAUUAAAAUUUUCCAAAACUCA